AAAGAUAAUACCAAACAAUUUGCAACAUAGCUAGAUAUAUCAUGAUACUCAUGUACGGCGAGACAAUUCUUGGUCCUUGUUUGGGCACUAUCUUUCUUUGUUGCUCGCCUUGUGAACUCUUCAUAGGACCUUUUAAUCUUGAGUUGAUCUAUGUAGGCUUCCUUUCUUGAUAAUAUAGUCAGGAUAUGGGUGAGAUCGUC
rnacentral:lncRNA from 1 species